UACGUAGGUGGCAAGCGUUGUCCGGAUUUAUUGGGUUUAAAGGGUGCGUAGGUGGCUAUCUAAGUCAGUGGUGAAAUAUCUCAGCUUAACUGAGAGGGUGCCAUUGAUACUGGAUAGCUUGAGUACAGAUGAGGUAGGCGGAAUUGACGGUGUAGCGGUGAAAUGCAUAGAUAUCGUCAAGAACACCGAUAGCGAAGGCAGCUUACCAAGCUGUAACUGACGCUGAGGCACGAAAGUGUGGGGAUCAAACAGG
rnacentral:rRNA from 1 species